rnacentral:rRNA from 1 species
GUGGGGAAUAUUGGACAAUGGGGGGAACCCUGAUCCAGCCAUGCCGCGUGUGUGAAGAAGGCCUUUUGGUUGUAAAGCACUUUAAGCGAGGAGGAGGCUACUCUAGUUAAUAUCUAGGGAUAGUGGACGUUACUCGCAGAAUAAGCACCGGCUAACUCUGUGCCAGCAGCCGCGGUAAUACAGAGGGUGCAAGCGUUAAUCGGAUUUACUGGGCGUAAAGCGCGCGUAGGUGGCCAAUUAAGUCAAAUGUGAAAUCCCCGAGCUUAACUUGGGAAUUGCAUUCGAUACUGGUUGGCUAGAGUAUGGAAGAGGAUGGUAGAAUUCCAGGUGUAGCGGUGAAAUGCGUAGAGAUCUGGAGGAAUACCGAUGGCGAAGGCAACCAUCUGGCCUAAUACUGACACUGAGGUGCGAAAGCAUGGGGAGCAAACAGGAUUAGAAACCCUUGUAGUCC